UACGGAGGGGGCUAGCGUUGUUCGGAAUUACUGGGCGUAAAGCGCACGUAGGCGGCUUUGUAAGUUAGAGGUGAAAGCCCGGGGCUCAACUCCGGAAUUGCCUUUAAGACUGCAUCGCUAGAAUUGUGGAGAGGUAAGUGGAAUUCCCAGUGUAGAGGUGAAAUUCGUAGAUAUUGGGAAGAACACCGGUGGCGAAGGCGGCUCUCUGGACCGAUACUGACGCUGAGGCGCGAAAGCGUGGGGAGCAAACAGG
rnacentral:rRNA from 1 species